GAUGAAGAACGUAGUGAAAUGCGAUAAGUAAUGUGAAUUGCAGAAUUCAGUGAAUCAUCGAAUCUUUGAACGCACAUUGCGCCCGCCAGCACUCUGGCGGGCAUGCCUGUUCGAGCGUCAUUUCAACCAUCAAGCCCCCAGGGGCUUGUGCUGGGGCCCUGCGGCUGCCCGCAGGCCCUGAAAACCAGUGGCGGGCUCGCUAGUCACACCGAGCACAGUAGCAAUAUCUCGCUCUGGGCGCGGCGGCGGGCGCUUGCCGUAAAACACACCACAUUUUUAAGGUUGACCUCGGAUCAGGUAGGAAUACCCGCUGAACUUAAGCAUAUCAAUAAGCGGAGGA
rnacentral:misc_RNA from 1 species